AAGGAACCAAGACAACACGGGAUCUGGAGACAGAAAUUUCCUCCUCUUUUAGCUAGAGUGCUUCACCACUAUUACUUCUCUCCUGCAAACAGCUGAACCAUGGGACAGAAAUUGCUGAAGCCACCUAACACAGAGAUGUUACAGGAGCCUCAAACUGAUGUUGAACAGUAGGCAAAUUUGUUCUGUACUGUCUCACCCAGGACUGUCAGUUAAGAAGAAAUGUCAAGGGACAGGCUGUUAAAAAUAACAAAGAGACUGUAGAAGAACUAACAGGUCAAUGAGGACAAACAUCUCAAGGAAAUUGCUUAAAAUUAAACAUGACUUUUAAGUUAUCACAGAAUAACUUCCUUUCAAAGAAUUCUUAAUCUUUUGUCAAUAUGUAGUGCAGUCAAUGCAUACGUCAAUAUGUAUUGGGAAAUACCUGAAAGAUAAGCCCUAUUAUAGCUAUGACAUUUAUGCAUUGUUAAAUUAAUUAUUGCUCCAAAUAACUGGCAACCUAAAUAGAAAACGUAGUUGUGCUAGUUGUAUAUUAAUUGUUUUUUGGUGAGCAGGGAAGAAGCCAGUUAUGGAAGUGAUUUUCCAAGAGAAGCUGGUAGAAGUUUCCUCUGUGCCUGACAAAAACCAAUCAGUGACUAGUUUUGAAUAUUGACACUUUGUUAAACCGCUAGAAAGCUGAACACGGCUCUGUGAACGCACAUGUUAAAAUGCACAAACUCUGGGAAAAACUCUCUUACUUCCAGCCUUUGGAGAGAGAAGUUCCCCCCUCGCCUCCUGGCCUGGUGGCCUGGUGGUCAAGGGGAGGCCAUGGAGCCCCCAGCCAAGGCAGGGCUGGGCCAUGGCUGAUACCAUCCUGCUGACAUUAAGCCCUGCCAGGCUGCCUGCCCAUGAGGCCUAGAGGGGCCCAACCUGGCUCUUGCAGCUGCUGGACAGACAGAGGGAAAGCCAUCAGUUUUUCAGCCUGCAGCUGGAAUUGAAUGAAGCAGGGGCUGGUCUCCAGCACCUCCAUUCUGUCUGGGCCCCCUGAGAUCCUGACACAGCCCUCCCAGUGCGGCCUGAAGAUCCAUCAUUGUGACUGCUUUGGCAGACGCCCGGCCUGGAUCACAUAACCAUCUGCAGGGCGAGAUAUUAACUCUUUUAGUUAAUGAAACGUACAAAUAUCAAUUCUUUCUUGAGUGAAAGAAAAGGAAAGAGUGAAGAUACAGAGAGAACAACAUGAGACAUGAAGGUCAGGAAGAAGUCAAGUUCCAGAUGGAAGGGAUUGAGGAGAUGCCUCAGUCCUGGGCUGAAAUCCUCUUGCCAGGCUAUGGAGUAGAUAUAAUUUAUACAUCAGACUCUUUUUCCCUCUUACUCAUUGAAAGGUAUGGGAGAUGGAGCUUUCAAAUUGUAGAUAUGGGCAAAGGCAUCUAUGCUAAAGCAAGCAGAUGUUGACAUAGCUGUGAUCCCAUGAGAAAUUUGAACAGAGAGAGAGAAGAGUGAUGAAGACCCUUUGCCCCCUGGGAAAGAAGAAGACCUCUAUUCCCAGAGAUGAAGAUCUCAGAGAUACAUAAAGAGAACCUUUGCUCUAGAACAGCUCAUGUCAACUUAUGAGGUACCUUAAAAUAGUAACCCAUAAGUUGACUUGGCCCAUGAACACAACUGUGGGAAGGCUGCAAGAGAUGGGAGGGACUUCACAAUUCCAGCUGCAGAUUCCUGGGCAGCUGCUAUUUGUGGAAAUUAAAAUCUAUAAAAGAACUGUUUUCUUGUGGAGAAGUCUCCAUAGCAUUACAAGAGAGACUCCUCUCCCAAAGUGAACUGAAGAAAGUCUCUUCUACAAGUGAAAAACUGACUGAAUUGUUUCUGUGUGUUGUUAGUGGGAAAGAAAAGAUUGCAGGGGGGAGGAGAAGUGUUCUUACUAAAAGUUUAAUUCUUAUUGUUCUUUCCUUUAGUUAUUGUUAAUAA